UACGGAGGAUCCGAGCGUUAUCCGGAUUUAUUGGGUUUAAAGGGUGCGUAGGCGGCCUAUUAAGUCAGGGGUGAAAGACGGUAGCUCAACUAUCGCAGUGCCUUUGAUACUGAUGGGCUUGAAUACACUUGAGGUAGGCGGAAUGCGACAAGUAGCGGUGAAAUGCAUAGAUAUGUCACAGAACACCAAUUGCGAAGGCAGCUUACUAAAGUGUGAUUGACGCUGAGGCACGAAAGCGUGGGGAUCAAACAGG
rnacentral:rRNA from 1 species